rnacentral:rRNA from 1 species
GAUGAACGCUGGCGGCGUGCCUAAUACAUGCAAGUCGAGCGGACAGACGAGGAUCUUGCUCCUCUGACGUUAGCGGCGGACGGGUGAGUAACACGUGUAUAACCGACCUAUAAGACUGGGAUAACUUCGGGAAACCGGAUCUAAUACCGGAUAAGAUAUUGAACCGCAUGGUUCAAUAGUGAAAGACGGUUUUGCUGUCACUUAUAGGUGGAUCCGCGCCGCAUUAGCUAGUUGGUAAGGUAACGGCUUACCAAGGCAAGGAUGCGUAGCCGAACUGACAGGGUGAUCGGCCACACUGGAACUGAGACACGGUCCAGACUCCUACGGGAGGCAGCAGUAGGGAAUCUUCCGCAAUGGGCGAAAGCCUGACGGAGCCACGCCGCGUGAGUGAUGAAGGUCUUCGGAUCGUAAAACUCUGUUAUUAGGGAAGAACAACUGUGUAAGUAAAUAUGCACGUAUUGACGGUACCUACUCAGAAAGCACCGGCUAACUACGUG